GACGAACGCUGGCGGCGUGCCUAAUACAUGCAAGUAGGACGCUGAAGGAGGAGCUUGCUUCUCUGGAUGAGUUGCGAACGGGUGAGUAACGCGUAGGUAACCUGCCUGGUAGCGGGGGAUAACUAUUGGAAACGAUAGCUAAUACCGCAUAAUAGUAGAUGUUGCAUGACAUUUGCUUAAAAGGUGCAAUUGCAUCACUACCAGAUGGACCUGCGUUGUAUUAGCUAGUUGGUGGGGUAACGGCUCACCAAGGCGACGAUACAUAGCCGACCUGAGAGGGUGAUCGGCCACACUGGGACUGAGACACGGCCCAGACUCCUACGGGAGGCAGCAGUAGGGAAUCUUCGGCAAUAGACGGAAGUCUGACCGAGCAACGCCGCGUGAGUGAAGAAGGUUUUCGGAUCGUAAAGCUCUGUUGUAAGAGAAGAACGAGUGUGAGAGUGGAAAGUUCACACUGUGACGGUAUCUUACCAGAAAGGGACGGCUAACUACGUG
rnacentral:rRNA from 1 species